rnacentral:rRNA from 1 species
CCUACGGGAGGCAGCAGUGGGGAAUAUUGGACAAUGGGGGGAACCCUGAUCCAGCCAUGCCGCGUGUGUGAAGAAGGCCCUCGGGUUGUAAAGCACUUUUAGUGAGGAAGAACGCCUGGUGGUUAAUACCCAUCAGGAAAGACAUCACUCACAGAAGAAGCACCGGCUAACUCCGUGCCAGCAGCCGCGGUAAUACGGAGGGUGCGAGCGUUAAUCGGAAUUACUGGGCGUAAAGCGCGCGUAGGUGGCUUGAUAAGCCGGUUGUGAAAGCCCCGGGCUCAACCUGGGAACGGCAUCCGGAACUGUCAAGCUAGAGUGCAGGAGAGGAGGGUAGAAUUCCCGGUGUAGCGGUGAAAUGCGUAGAGAUCGGGAGGAAUACCAGUGGCGAAGGCGGCCUUCUGGACUGACACUGACACUGAGGUGCGAAAGCGUGGGUAGCAAACAGGAUUAGAUACCCUUGUAGUC